AUUGAACGCUGGCGGCAGGCUUAACACAUGCAAGUCGAGCGAGCGGCGGACGGGUGAGUAGUGUCUGGGAAACUGCCUGACGGAGCGGGAUGACGACGGGAAACGGUAGCUAAUACCGCAUACCAUCAGAUGUGCCGAGAUGGGAUUAGCUAGUAGGUGGGGUAAUGGCUCACCAAGGCGACGAUCCCUAGCUGGGCUGAGAGGCUGACCAGCCACACUGGAACUGAGACACGGCCCAGACUCCUACGGUAGGCAGCAGUGGGGAAUAUUGGACAAUGGGCGAAAGCCUGAUGCAGCCAUGCCGCGUGUGUGAAGAAGGCUUUCGGGUUGUAAAGCUCUUUUGGCGAGGAGGCGUUAUCCGACGAGGAAGCAACGGCUAACUCCGUGCCAGCAGCCGCGGUAAUAC
rnacentral:rRNA from 1 species